UGCCAGACUCCUACGGGAGGCAGCAGUGGGGGAUAUUGCACAAUGGGGGAAACCCUGAUGCAGCGACGCCGCGUGGGCGAAGAAGUAUUUCGGUAUGUAAAGCCCUAUCAGCAGGGAAGAAGAAAUGACGGUACCUGAGUAAGAAGCACCGGCUAAAUACGUGCCAGCAGCCGCGGUAAUACGUAUGGUGCAAGCGUUAUCCGGAUUUACUGGGUGUAAAGGGGGCGCAGACGGCAGCGCAAGCCAGGAGUGAAAGCCCGGGGCCCAACCCCGGGACUGCUCUUGGAACUGCGCGGCUGGAGUGCAGGAGGGGCAGGCGGAAUUCCUGGUGUAGCGGUGAAAUGCGUAGAUAUCAGGAGGAACACCGGUGGCGAAGGCGGCCUGCUGGACUGCGACUGACGUUGAGGCCCGAAAGCGUGGGGAGCAAACAGGAUUAGAUACCCGAGUAUU
rnacentral:rRNA from 1 species